UGUUUCGGCUAGGGGGUCAUCCCGACUUACCAACCCGAUGCAAACUACGAAUACCGAAGAAUGUUAUCACGGGAGACACACGGCGGGUGCUAACGUCCGUCGUGAAGAGGGAAACAACCCAGACCGCCAGCUAAGGUCCCAAAGUCAUGGUUAAGUGGGAAACGAUGUGGGAAGGCACAGACAGCCAGGAUGUUGGCUUAGAAGCAGCCAUCAUUUAAAGAAAGCGUAAUAGCUCACUGGUCGAGUCGGCCUGCGCGGAAGAUGUAACGGGGCUAAACCAUGCACCGAAGCUGCGGCAGCGACACUAUGUGUUGUUGGGUAGGGGAGCGUUCUGUAAGCCUGCGAAGGUGUGCUGUGAGGCAUGCUGGAGGUAUCAGAAGUGCGAAUGCUGACAUAAGUAACGAUAAAGCGGGUGAAAAGCCCGCUCGCCGGAAGACCAAGGGUUCCUGUCCAACGUUAAUCGGGGCAGGGUGAGUCGACCCCUAAGGCGAGGCCGAAAGGCGUAGUCGAUGGGAAACAGGUUAAUAUUCCUGUACUUGGUGUUACUGCGAAGGGGGGACGGAGAAGGCUAUGUUAGCCGGGCGACGGUUGUCCCGGUUUAAGCAUGUAGGCUGGUUGUCCAGGCAAAUCCGGAUAAUCAA
rnacentral:rRNA from 1 species